rfam:Physcomitrella patens subsp. patens PHYPAscaffold_9770 genomic scaffold, whole genome shotgun sequence.
GUUCGCUGCCGCAUAGGCAGCUCAGAAA